UUUCAGGGGAGAGCUGGAAGAAAGACUGUCAACAGCUGAGUGCGGGCGCCGGCGCCGUCUACGCAGUGCGUUCCACCGGGUCCGUAUCCCUCCCGAUUCCGCCCCACCCCGCCCUCGGAACUCGCUGCCUCAACUCCUGCGGUGGGACUCCGGAGCAGCGUACACCGCCCUUGCCUUAGUCCUCCCCAAGGCCAGGGCAGCUGUGCGGCCUGGCGCGGGUUACUUGGUGUGGUGCAAAAAGCCAGAAGGAGACACAUUUGGUCCUGGCCACCCCGGAGUCACCCAAACCAAAAGCAUUGAUGUGAGUGUAGAUGAAGUAAAAACUUUGGCUUCCCUGAUGACAUACAAGUGUGCAGUGGUUGGAUAAUGAAUUGGAAAAGAUCACAAGGAGGUUCACCAUGGAGCUAGCAAAGAAGGGCUUUAUUGUGUGGCCACAUAGAUUUUGGUAUAAAGUGGGAACAUCUAAAAAAAUCUUUUUUUUUUUUUUUUGAGACAGAGUCUUGCUCUGUCGCCAAGAUUGGAGUGUAGUGGUGCGAUCUCCUCCACCUCCCGGGUUCAAGCAAUUCUCUUGUCUAAGCCUCCCGAGUAGCUGAGACUAUAGGCAUGUGCCACCAUGCCCAGCUAAUUUUCGUAUUUUUAUAGAGAUGGGGUUUUGCCAUGUUGAUCAGGCUGGUCUUGAACUCUUGACCUCAGGUGAUCCACCCAUCUCAGAAUCCCAAAGUGCUGGGAUUACAGGCGUGAGCCACUAUGCCCGGCCUCCUACUAUUUGUAAUAGGAGAUAGGGUCAGAUAAGGGAAUAAAAGCAGGCUGCCCCAGCCAGGGGCAGCAACCAGCUCAGGUCCCCUUCCACACUGUGGAGGCUUUGUUUUUUUGCGCUUUGCAAUAAAUCUUGCUGCUGCUCA
ensembl:lncRNA GLUD1P3 glutamate dehydrogenase 1 pseudogene 3